CGGCCGGUGAGAAUUUGUCAGCAUGUUAACAUCUUAACUGCCUCACCUGGAAGGAAAGGAGUGAGGCGACUUGAGUCACUGAAGGAACAAAACCAGUAGUUCCUUUUCUGCAGCCGGUGAAUACACCACCAUCUCUGCACCUGACUCUUCCUUCCCGUAGUAGUCCAUUGAUUUCAAUCCUCACAAUUAAUCGAUCCAAGAAGAACACAUCGUCAGGUUUCUGUUAUGGGAUCUGUUUCUUCGACUAAUCAUGUCGCGACAUUGGACUCGCCCAAUAAAGAAGAACCAGCGGACACCAGCUAAUGCAAGUUGUGAGGCAACGAGACCAGGACGAGGGCUUGCUGAUCACCGUUUGGUGCAUAGGGCCGUUAUUUUUCGGUGAAUCAAAUAAUUACUCUGGGGUUUCUCUGCACUGCCAUGAAGACCCGAGGCUAGUUCAGCUUCGCAGCUUAUCCUCACAUCUUCAGCAACCAUGUAUUGCUCAUGAGGAGAAAAUUUAACUAAGUUGGCUUUACCUGUAGGGGAGAGGAGUCGAAGGAGUACAGUGUAUCCGUUCAAGCAGUGUGCACCAAUUAUCACCCCUGUAAGGGGUUUCUUUAACAACCCUCUCCCAAUAAUGGCGAUUAAGAAUUGGAUCAUAACCAGGAGAAUAUCUAGAUUUUCCAUUACUAUAAACUCCGUCUUUUGAAACGAGGAAUUCCCUCAUAUUGUCUUUGGUGUAAUUCCCGUAAGAGCAUGGUCACGUUUCGCAUGGUGUGAAACAGUCUAGUUUUACUUUCCUUCUCGGAAAAACUGGAGGAAGACCGUACUGCCAGUGUUACUGCUGCUAACGCUCAUAAAGAGUUUUCUGGAUCUCGGCGUUUGUCACUUUUCUCAUAUUAGUAAUGAAUUAGUCCCUCAAUUUUCCCAAUAUUGAAUCUAGAAUGAAGUCUUUAAUUAUGGCCAUUGUUAAUUACUUAGUGUUAUCUGUUACCCAAUUUAGCAUAAGGUUUGUUCUUAAUGUCAGGAAUAACCUAAUAUUGUACAUACUUUGUACUGUACAAUGGUGAGAUCAUUUGAAUUUUUUUCUAGUGCUGUGAAGAAUUUGUUAACUGCGAUUGGCAAUAGUUGUUAGCUGAGUAAUUAAGCGAGGAACUCUUUACUGCUGUGACUUUGCAAGGUCUGAUCUUAAGUCUCGUUUUAGUGUAACAAUUGCAGCAUUGCAAGUUAAUUUUUUCUAUCUUUUGAAACCCUUUUAUGGAA